CACCAAGGAUCUCACCCAAUGUGCCAGACUGAAGGUGGAAAAUACCAUGCUUCCUGAGAUAUCCUAGGCAUCUAACUCAAAGGAUGCUGAACAGUGGCCUGGAGACGCCAUGAAUUACCUGAGAUAAUUGAAUUAGGGAAUGGAAAAGGAGUACAUUCCACACAAAGGGGAAACAUGGAAGGAAAUCCCAGAAGUAAAGAAAGAACACAGUUUUUGGCAAAUCACUAGAAGCAAUAUUUUUAAUCAAUGAAGUGGAUCUAAUUUGGAUUUCAGAUGCACAGAGAAAGAGACAGGGGAGUGGGAAGGAAGAAGUUUCCUAAUGUAAGCACUUUGUAUUUCACAGCUGUGUUUUAAAUGUUCUGAGAGGAGCAAAAUUAA